rnacentral:rRNA from 1 species
GAUGAACGCCGGCGGCGUGCCUAAUACAUACAAGUCGAGCGAACGGACGAGAAGCUUGCUUCUCUGAUGUUAGCGGCGGACGGGUGAGUAACACGUGGAUAACCUACCUAUAAGACUGGGAUAACUUCGGGAAACCGGAGCUAAUACCGGAUAAUAUUUUGAACCGCAUGGUUCAAAAGUGAAAGACGGUCUUGCUGUCACUUAUAGAUGGAUCCGCGCUGCAUUAGCUAGUUGGUAAGGUAACGGCUUACCAAGGCAACGAUGCAUAGCCGACCUGAGAGGGUGAUCGGCCACACUGGAACUGAGACACGGUCCAGACUCCUACGGGAGGCAGCAGUAGGGAAUCUUCCGCAAUGGGCGAAAGCCUGACGGAGCAACGCCGCGUGAGUGAUGAAGGUCUUCGGAUCGUAAAACUCUGUUAUUAGGGAAGAACAUAUGUGUAAGUAACUGUGCACAUCUUGACGGUACCUAAUCAGAAAGCCACGGCUAACUACGUGCCAGCAGCCGCGGUAAUACGUAGGUGGCAAGCGUUAUCCGGAAUUAUUGGGCGUAAAGCGCGCGUAGGCGGUUUUUUAAGUCUGAUGUGAAAGCCCACGGCUCAACCGUGGAGGGUCAUUGGAAACUGGAAAACUUGAGUGCAGAAGAGGAAAGUGGAAUUCCAUGUGUAGCGGUGAAAUGCGCAGAGAUAUGGAGGAACACCAGUGGCGAAGGCGACUUUCUGGUCUGUAACUGACGCUGAUGUGCGAAAGCGUGGGGAUCAAACAGGAUUAGAUACCCUGGUAGUCCACGCCGUAAACGAUGAGUGCUAAGUGUUAGGGGGUUUCCGCCCCUUAGUGCUGCAGCUAACACAUUAAGCACUCCGCCUGGGGAGUACGACCGCAAGGUUGAAACUCAAAGGAAUUGACGGGGACCCGCACAAGCGGUGGAGCAUGUGGUUUAAUUCGAAGCAACGCGAAGAACCUUACCAAAUCUUGACAUCCUUUGACAACUCUAGAGAUAGAGCUUUCCCCUUCGGGGGACAAAGUGACAGGUGGUGCAUGGUUGUCGUCAGCUCGUGUCGUGAGAUGUUGGGUUAAGUCCCGCAACGAGCGCAACCCUUAAGCUUAGUUGCCAUCAUUAAGUUGGGCACUCUAAGUUGACUGCCGGUGACAAACCGGAGGAAGGUGGGGAUGACGUCAAAUCAUCAUGCCCCUUAUGAUUUGGGCUACACACGUGCUUCAAUGGACAAUACAAAGGGCAGCGAAACCGUGAGGUCAAGCAAAUCCCAUAAAAUUGUUCUCAGUUCGGAUUGUAGUCUGCAACUCGACUACAUGAAGCUGGAAUCGCUAGUAAUCGUAGAUCAGCAUGCUACGGUGAAUACGUUCCCGGGUCU